UGGCCAGACUCCUACGGGAGGCAGCAGUGAGGGAUAUUGGUCAAUGGGGGAAACCCUGAACCAGCAACGCCGCGUGAGGGAAGACGGUUUUCGGAUUGUAAACCUCUGUCCUCUGUGAAGAUAAUGACGGUAGCAGAGGAGGAAGCUCCGACUAACUACGUGCCAGCAGCCGCGGUAAUACGUAGGGAGCAAGCGUUGUCCGGAUUUACUGGGUGUAAAGGGAGCGUAGACGGCAGCGCAAGUCUGAAGUGAAAUGCCGGGGCUUAACCCCGGAACUGCUUUGGAAACUGUGCAGCUAGAGUGCAGGAGAGGUAAGUGGAAUUCCUAGUGUAGCGGUGAAAUGCGUAGAUAUUAGGAGGAACACCAGUGGCGAAGGCGGCUUACUGGACUGUAACUGACGUUGAGGCUCGAAAGCGUGGGGAGCAAACAGGAUUAGAUACCCCCGUAG
rnacentral:rRNA from 1 species